GCACUGCUGAAGAGUCCUACAAUGGAACGAAACGGCCGUCCAGUGC
rfam:Schistosoma rodhaini strain Burundi genome assembly, scaffold: SROB_scaffold0002047